UAGAGAGGAACAGCAUAGAAUUUCACAAAGAAAUAUGAAAUCAAAACCAAAUUACAAAUUAAUUUCUUUUUAGAUGCAGUGUGCAGACUGUAUGCUGCCAACCACCCUGGAGGGUUCAGGCUACUGUAUGACAAGGCUGAGCUGCUAGGCUUGUGAAGAAGAUUCAUAGAAAGAUAACAAGUAUUCUGAUCUCAAUAUGAGCUGCUGGUAAUUUUCUGCAACUGCAUUGAAGUCCCUGUCCUUGCUGUUAGAAGUGAAUGCAGCCUGGCUGUAAGCCACAGAGUGUGUUGGGAUGCCAUGGCAGCAACUUUUGACAUUUGGAUUGGAGCCAG
rnacentral:lncRNA from 1 species